GGGUCCCCAGCCCCCGCUCCCGGCCCGUGUCCCUGUGUGACUGGAGCAGCCCCCAUGCCGCCCACCACGCCGGAGCCAGAGCAAGGCCAGGACCCCUGUCCACCCGGGGGCAAGCUGCCCAGGCCUAAGGAUUUGCCAUCCUAAGGCCGAAACCAGGCGGAGCUGAAGAGCCUGGGCCUCAUCCACUGUGACUGCAGAUUUUUUCUUGCAUGUACUAUCUUUUGUUCUCGAAGCCAUAACAACAGUUUCUACGAUCUUUGAGCACUGGACUGUAAAAAUCCGGGAUCUGCAUUUCACUGUAUCGUUUCCCCAGCACCGUGUCUUUGAAGAGACUACCCGUUUGCCCCCAGUUGCCUUCGAAUCUGUCCACGAUCGGCUGCCCGUGUGUGCAGUGUGUCCCGGACGUGCUGCAUGUCGUGAGUCCACUUCCUGCAAGACUGGGCCUCAGCAGGUGCAUCUGCGGCCGAGCGAGCCGGGCAUCGGGCAUCGGACAGCGGGUCCUCAGCCAAGCAAGCCCGCGCGGAGCCGGUCUCGGCAGUGCCCUCUGCUGGCGUGAGCCCGGCGCACAGGUGAGCUCCCCGGAGGGGCGCGUGGAGUCCCAGCUCCACUUCUUUGGCAAUUGCUCUUUCAGGAAGCGCCCUCCCGUGAGGAGCUACUCGCCUCGCUUAAGCUGUGUGGGUGUAGGUGAAAACAAAAUAGGACAUGCCGAGGCAAGGGGUUCAAAAGUUAAGUGACAGUCCCCGAUGCGCCCCAGAGUGGGCACCAGCGGCUGAGGGGCGACCUGGGCACAGCUGCACGGCGGGUUGGUGCUAACCCUGCUGCGAGCGGGAGAGACCAGGCCGGUGACUGUCAGGAAGAGCCUCAUCUCAGCUUUGGAGGCUGCACUUUGACAAAAGCCUCAUAAAUGAGACAAAACCACUCACCUAUGAACACUUCGUGAUGUUCAUUGCUUCUUGUUGGCGAGUGCACGGGCCGACACUGUUUAUCCUAAUCGGCCCCCAAAUGCCCCAAGCCUGCUUUGUCUGGGCGCCGGACAUGGGUCUUGUCUUUCUGUCGUGGGGGUACAGUUGGGAGGUUGGAGCUCAGGGUGGGCUGGAUUGUAGGUGCCCGCGUCACCCUCUGCUCUUGGACUUUCCUGGACAUGCGGCCCUGCGGCCCGGCCCUCACUUAGCAGGACCGACAGCUAAGCGUGCACACCAGGGCCUGCCCGCGCGUGCUGCCUCUCCCAUGUCCGAGCUGUGUCCUGCGGCCCGGGACUUGCCUCUCCCACCUCCACUUCCUCGCCCAUCAGAUGGGGGUUGGCUUCUACCUGAGGCCCAGGUGAAGGCUGAGCAAGUGCACGUGGCCCACGGCUUCAGGGGCGUCUCUGCGGGGCGUUGCCAGGCUCCAGUGAAGUCCCAGGUGGAGAGUGAGCCCCGGUCCCUUCUCCUCACCAGGCAGAAAGGGCUGAGUUGACGGCACUUGUAAGCCGUGGCUGGAGCUGGAGCCACAGCCUCACAGCCACCCCCAGACACAGCCUCCCCCAUUUCCUACAGGACCUGAGUCCCCAGUCAGUGAACAGCUGACACGGCAGGACGGGGAAGGUUCAACCAGAAGUGACAAUGAAAAUGAAGAUCGUAUAAAAUGUUCCAUUUCUCUGCAAAUGUAAAAACUGGGUCUUAGUAAAAUGUGAAAACUUGUGCCAUUUGGAGGAGGCGUCUGGCAUUCCUGCGUCACCCAGGACAACGCGGCCCCUGUCCCCCAUCCGCUGUCAGGCCUGGGAGGGGAGCGGUCACCUCAGCAGGAAGAUGAGCUGAGCAACGUGCCUGUUUCCCCACGGCAACGUCGUGCUGAGCUGCACACACACCUUCUCCCAGCGCCUGGUGUUAGGUGGGGCUCUGGGGGGACGAGGUGGAGCCCCAUGGCCGGCAGCAGUGCCCUGAUAAAGGCCCCAGGCCUCUGUCUAGCCUCUAUCUGGCCUCUCCUCUUCUGUCUGGUCAGGACAGUGAGAAGCGGAUACCCACCAGCCAGGAGGCCUCGGCUGUGACCUUGGACGUCCAGCCUCCUGUGAGAGCCGCCGUGGGAUGCUUUUCAAGCCCCAGUCCACGGGGCCUCAGACAGCAGCCCCAAUGGCUAAGGCCGUGUCCACCAGGAGCAUCCAGCAGCACAGCUGCGGGAACAGUUCAUCGGCCAGGCUGGGCAGCGGCCCUGCGUCCGAGGGACGAAGCAGGCAUGUUCCGUCACCACGUCCAGUUUAUUCACACUCAUUCAGGGCAGCUUGUGUACGGGGUCCCUGGUGCCUAUGCUGUCUAUGGGACAUCGGGUGGAGGCAGGACGCAGCCACUCUCCUGCAGGGCCUUCUUGUACCUGCUCACCCCUAGCAGGUGUCGGGGGGAUGCGCCCCUGAACCCACUAAGAGAACUGGGGUGUGCCAGGGGCAUGAGAGCAGGCCAAUACACAGAAGGAGCUCCCGGCAGCUGGCUGCCUUCCCGCACCAGACGGCGUCACUCUGGUCUUCCUACGUCAACGGAUGAAACUGGACUGGGGAAAGUUCUAAAUUGUUCAGCCUUUUCUUUAAAAAAAAAAAAAAAACUAACUGAAAAGUUAACCUUAACAUCUACAACAGAAGCUUUGAUGCCAGGGCCUCCCUGGUGGUGCAGGGGUUAAAGACAGCGCUAUCAAGCUGUCCGCAGCCUCUGCAGCUCAAAUUUGAACCCCGGCCAGGGAGCUACCCACAGGGCACAGCAGACCUCUCCUGUCUCCCCGCUGCUCCCCUCAGCAGUGGAUUUCAGUGGAUCUACCUGUUCUGCUCCCCACUCUGUCUCUGGGGAGUCCUCUCACUCCCCACACCUCUGGCCUGCAUCCCAGGUCUUAUAUGCAUAAAUAAAUAAAUAAACAAACAAAUAAAUAAAUCUUAAAAAAAAAACCUAACUGAAAAAUUAACCUACACAGCUACCAUAGAAACUUUCACACCUGUCACGUAAUGCCCAGUGCUCUACCUGCCCUGGACGAUGGGGCCCAAACCUCCUGCUCCCCACUCUGUUAUUGGGGGGCUGGCAGAAGUGAACCCAGGACUUCGUCCCUUUGCACUUCCCUAUGUUCAGAUGAGUGUGUUUGGAUAAAGACACUCCCAGGAAGGGCUGAAAAGACAGUGCAGCUUUCCUCCCUCUGACCCCCUCGUGGUGGUCCCACCCCUUUCCACCCACACCCCCAGACUCCACCCCCCAGGACAGGUGGAGGCAGGAAAGCACCCUCACUGUGUACUUUUUUUUAAAGAUUUAUUUAUGCAUAUUUUAAAAAAGAUUUAUUUAUUUGUGCAUGCAAGAACUGUGGUGCAGGCUAGAGGUGCAGGGGAUGAGAGGAUUCACCAGAGACAGAGUGGGGAGCAGAACAGGCAUAUCUACUGAAACACACUGCUGAGGCGGGUGAGUCAGGAGAGGUCUGCUGCGCCAUGUGGGUAGCUCCCUAGCUGGGAUAGUACUCAUGCUGCAGUGGCUGUGGACAGCUUCAUAGUGCUGAGACUUAACCCCUGCACUACCAGGGAGGCCCCACAGAGAAUAUUUUGAAACAUACCCACUGCUAUAUUUAGGGCCCAGAAAGUGAGGCCUGUGUCUGGCCUGUCUGAACACAGACGUGGACCCAACGUUUUUUCACUUGUUUAAAAGUUUUCUCCAUGGGUUCUUAGCCUAUUUAUAAAAAAAAAAUAAGAAAGGCAGGGCCUCCCAGGUGGCGCAAGGGGUUAAGAUGCAACCUAUGAAGCUGUCCACACCUACUGCAGCACCAGUUCGAUCCUCCAGCCAGCCAGGGAACAAUCCACAUGGCGCAGCAGACCUCUCCUGGCUCACCCACUGCUCCCCUCAGCAGUGUAUUUCAGUCAGUCUGCCUGUUCUGCUCCCCACUCUGUCUCUGGUAUACCCCCUCACCCCCAUAUACACACGCCUCUGGCCUGUACCCCAGCUCUUGUAUGCAUAAAUGAACAAAUCUUUAAAAAAAAAAUUAAGAAAGGCAACAUUUCCCAGCUGAUCUUUGAGAACAAUUAACAUAGGAAAUGUGGGCGCUCACUAGCCAACUGCCAACAAAAAUCUUUGUGUAGUGAGUGGAUGGGACUGAAAGACUGGGCCACAAUCCAGAAAAUCAGUCAGGCAGAGAUACUCAGCUUUCACCUCAGGUCUUUGUGAUGCACCUUUACAGUGAUGACAGAUGCCAGAAUUCAGUGUCAAUUUAAAUUGAAUGUAAACCAGUCAGUGACUGAAUCACAAAUUAUUGUUUUCAAAAGCAAUGAAAAUACUUGGGUUGGAAGAGAUGUGUUGAAAACCUCACUUUCAGUACCUCAAAAUGAUCUCUGCAGUAAGGUGUUGCAGAGUUAAUGAUGGAAAUUAAUGAGUGGUGUCUUCAGAGGAGAGGCGAUCUAUAGUUAUGGAAAUCCCAUGUGAUCCAGCAACACCACUGCUAGGUGGUGAACCCCCCCAAACAUAAAACUGUGUAAUAUGAAAAGAUUUAUGCACCCCUAUAUUCACAGCAGCAUUAUCCACAAUAGCCAAGACAUGGAGCCAAUCUAAGUGCCCACCCACAGAUGACUGGAUAAAGAAGUCGUGGGUUACAUACACAAUGGAAUACUACGCUGCUAUGAAAAAGAUUUAACACCACCUUUCAAAAUGGAUGGCCUUGGUAAGGUUGUUAAGUGAAGUAAGUCAGAAAGUGAAAGUUCCUGGGUAGUUUUAUUUAUCUGUGGAAUAUAAAUAAGCAAGGGGGACAUUGAACCAUGGUGCUUGCCAUUGGUUUUGUGUAAUGUUUUUUAUUAUAUUAAGGAGAUUUUCUUUGGGUCUCACUUUGUAGAGUGAUGAUAUCAUGAAA